GUCUUUAGAUCACCUAGAGGAGCCUGUUUCUAGAACCGAUAACCCCCGUUCAACCUCACCUUUCCUUGUUUUCCCCGCCUAUAUACCGCCGBBAGCUUACCCUGUGAAGGUCUAAUAGUAAGCAAAACUGGUAUAACCCAAAACGUCAGGUCGAGGUGUAGCGUAUGGGAAGGGAAGAAAUGGGCUACAUUCGCUACUACAGCGAAGUACGGACGAUGCACUGAAACGUUCUCUGAAGGAGGAGUUUAGCAGUAAGCUAG
rnacentral:rRNA from 1 species